rnacentral:lncRNA from 1 species
GGUGAGGGGUCUUCAGGUGCGGUUGCUCCGCUAGUUCUCCUUCGCAACUGGAGUUCUUCUCUGGCUAACCUGCACUAGAAAAAGACAGUGAACACAAUGGUAAAAAAAUCACGUAAAAUGGGAAACGGGAAGGGGGUCAUCGGAGAGGGUUUCAGGUUUUGACCGUCGCAGCUCGAUCGAGCUUUACCUGUAGUUUCUGGCUCACCCGUUGAUCCAUUGGCUUCGAUAUGGCCACAGGGAGGCUCAGGAUUAAAUUCUGAGUGGGAAAG